AGCGAACGCUGGCGGCAGGCCUAACACAUGCAAGUCGAACGAACUCUUCGGAGUUAGUGGCGGACGGGUGAGUAACACGUGGGAACGUGCCUUUUGGUUCGGAAUAACUCAGGGAAACUUGUGCUAAUACCGAAUGUGCCCUUCGGGGGAAAGAUUUAUCGCCAUUAGAGCGGCCCGCGUCUGAUUAGCUAGUUGGUGAGGUAACGGCCUACCAAGGCGACGAUCAGUAGCUGGUCUGAGAGGAUGACCAGCCACACUGGGACUGAGACACGGCCCAGACUCCUACGGGAGGCAGCAGUGGGGAAUCUUGCGCAAUGGGCGAAAGCCUGACGCAGCCAUGCCGCGUGAAUGAUGAAGGUCUUAGGAUUGUAAAAUUCUUUCACCGGGGACGACAAUGACGGUACCCGGAGAAGAAGCCCCGGCUAACUUCGUG
rnacentral:rRNA from 1 species